UUCAUGAGGAUUUAGGUUCUCUGUCAGGUCUCUGCAUUCUGUGAGGAACUAGAUUUAUGAAAAACUAUUGUGAUUCACGAGUGUGAAGGAACUUUAAAUAAACGUGGAUGAUGCCGUCAUAAUAUAUGCAGCUGGGGACUUAAAGUGUACUUAAGGUUACAGGCUUGGAGGAGGAGGUAGGGGCAGCUGACUUCUACAGGUAGAAAAAUUAUUUGUGUGACAGCAGGUUGACCACACCCUGCUUGGACCCCUGUGGCCCCAUUCACUCCAUCCAGCCACGGCAGGCCAAGGGGAAGGCAUGACAGACUCACCUUCAGGUGGAUGGGGAAGGGCCGCUCUUGCUGGAGAGGCCCAAGCAGAGUCUGCUCCACGCUGACCAGCUCCGAGGUCGAGUCCACCACUCGGGCCAGAGCGCUGCGCAUCGCCAUCCGCGCCAAGUUCCCGCAGGUACUGACAUCCCAGUAUGCAGAAAUGGCGUGGAGGAAGAGUUGGCACCACAAAGGAAGAGUUGACUGUUUUGUGCGGAAGGACUCAGGCAGCAAGGUCAAAGAUCAAUCCUCUUACGCAUGAACCUCAGGACAGCUGUACAAAUACCCAUUUUUAAUUACACCAAACAUGGCUGUCUCCUUUAAGUGAUGUGAAAGGACUGUUAAUUUUAAUCUUUUUAGAUUGGCAGUCAUCAGUGGUUUUUGUUUUGUUUUGUUUUGUGAAGGGGGGAGGGGUUGGUUUGGUUUGGUUGUUGUUUUUAAAGGCAUUUGGAGGGAAUAGUGAGGAAAACUAUCCCAGAAAGCAUCUUUUCUUUUUUUUCCUGCUUUCUUCUUGUAAGGAGAAUCCAACGAUCCAGCAAAGGCAAGGGCACGGAGGAGUGAAGAAUCGUGGGUGAACUAGAGGCCCAGGCAGACCGCGGGUGUGUCCUGUCGAGUCAUUUCUGGAAGCUCCUGGAUGGAAAAGCCAUGGCUUUGGUGCUGUCAGCACAGCAGAGUGCCAUUCCAGACAACAGGACAGGAGGUACUGGACAGAGCAGAACCUCAGCCCUCUUCGACACAACACUGAUUCUCAGAGCCAUGAGACAACUGAACUUCCAGAAGUCCAUGAGAUGAGGGCCAGAAAACCACAGGGCGUGAGGGGUGAUACCUCUUACUGAAAGAGGGCCUGGUGGCUCUUCCAGCAAAGCUCUUCCUCUAUCCAACCGUGAGUCACAUUUGUGUUUGGUGUGAUCUCAAAAUGGCUUAUGGCCCAAAGCUGGAGAUCAAAGACCCUAAGGGAAAGGCUUCAUGGGGUAUUGACACGACAUUAAUAGUGUUAGCAGAUCUGUCCUUGGUCUGAAGCAUCUGCAAGAGUUGACUCUGCUGGGCCAUCGGACCAUGUGCACACCCACACCCAGUGUGUAUCUCAUCUGAAACAUUGAAAGAAGUGUUCAUUCAAGAGCACAAAACGGUGCACAUCCAGUAUUUUUGUUUAAGUGUCUAUUUGAGUAUUUUAUGGAACCUAUGUUCUCAUUGCUCAAUGGAUACUCUUCAUCUUCCAUGUUCAGCCCAUAGGCUCGAUAAAGCAAACUGAUCCAAGUUGUAAAAGAAAGAGAUUUGGGUCAUCCAGGCUGCAGCCAAUUCCACACCACCUUCCCAUGGUGAGUGGUCAGGAGCCAUUUAGAAUGCUUUCGGUUGAAUGCACUGUAAAAGAUAAAACAACUUCACAGUAUAGGCCAGGAGGUCACACAAGCAGCAAAGAACACUUCCUCUUUCCAUAAGAAAGUGUAACACAAAAGGAUUUAAUCAACAAGAAUUUAUUGUCCCACAUAAUAAGAAGUCUGAAGGCGGCUCUCACACUGAUCAAUACUUGAGUUCUGGGGUGUCAUCAACGCCCUAGGCUCUUUCCAUCUUUUUGAGAGAUGAUCCUCAGGAUAUCGACUUUGUCUUUUGUGCUUGGUUCUUGGGUUACUUUAACCACUAAAUAGUGACAAUGGCUGCUGGCCUUGCCUCUGGACAACAACCUCUAAGCCAAGAGGUUAUUUCUUCUUCAGUAACCUUUCUCAAGUGCAGGGAGAUGCUUCAUAAAAAGCUCCAGCUGUCUUCCUCUACAUCUUGGCCGAAAUUGUAGAACAUAUUUGUGUCAAGGCAAUUAUAGUUGAGAGAAAAAGGGCCAAGAUAAGAAUGAACCAAAAUUCAGUCCUGAAGCACAUGCAUGUAAGGUGGAUGGAGAAUACCCAAUAGGAAUCAGGGUUCUGUUACCAAGCAACAGCAGUGGCAACCAAAUACCCGGAAGCUUUAGCAGUGUCCCUGGGAAAGGACACAUCUGAUCUCCAGGGUCUCUCCUAUUUCCAGAUAUACAAGAAGCAAAGUAUCACGAGGCUAACCCUUCCACUACAAAUGAGUGACUGAUGUCCCUUGUACAAGAGAAACCGAGGAGGUAUGUGUUGUGGAGCCUCUGUAGCUAUCCUGUGAGUUUGAGGGGAGAGCUUGCCUAUGAAUAACUCAAUACCAAAGAAAAAAGCCAAAAUAUCUGGAGAGAAAAUCAGGAGUCCUUAUAGUAGCACCAUUUGCAGCCUGCACAGAGAUGCUCAUGAAGACAGCCCCACUCCUGAGCUGUUUGGUUACAGAAGACAAGAAAGUAUCUUUUUAGUUUGACCCACUUUGGGUUUAAUUUAUUAGAACAGAAGGAAUCAUAAUGUAAACAAACAACAUAAUAUAUCACUGAAAAAGUAGCAGGUCAAUUUCACUGACCUUGUGACCCAGCACGCGGUUAACUAAAUGCUACUGAGUACAUCCUAUCAACCAGCUCCACAAUACUUUUGCCAUCCCCUGACCUUUGCAGGUUAAAGCUCUUGGAGCAACUCCCAUCUUCCCCAUAGCCCAUGAGAAACUUUCAAUUGACCACUGAGAUCAUUGAGACUCUUGUGGAUGAGAGAUGAGAAUAAAAAGGGGCUAAAAAGUUCAGUGAGUGAGCAACAAUGCCCCACCUGCCAAUGGACAAGGAGGGCUACUACAUGAACAGAAGUCCAGCUCUUCUUUUAUCACAAAGGUUCACAGACUCCUUUCCCACAUGAGCCAAAGAUGCCAGUGCUCAUGCAGGAUGUUUGAGAAGCUGGGCUCAGAAAGGAUAGAAGGGAAC